GCCCGCGUAGCUCAAAUGGUAGAGCAUUCCCAUGGUAAGGGAAAGGCCUCCGGUUCAAAUCCGGUCGCAGGCU
rnacentral:tRNA from 3 species